CCAGACUCCUACGGGAGGCAGCAGUGGGGAAUCUUCCGCAAUGGGCGCAAGCCUGACGGAGCAAUGCCGCGUGAACGAAGAAGGUCUUCGGAUUGUAAAGUUCUGUCCUUAUCGAAGAGAGGGUAUAGAGUGAAAAAUGAUAUACUAGGACGGUAGAUGAGGAGGAAGCACCGGCUAACUCCGUGCCAGCAGCCGCGGUAAUACGGAGGGCGCGAGCGUUAAUCGGAAUUACUGGGCGUAAAGCGCUCGUAGGCGGUAUGUCAAGUCAAGGGUGAAAUCCCCGCGCUCAACGUGGGAACUGCCUUUGAAACUGGCUGUCUUGAGAUGUCGAGAGGUAUGCGGAAUGCGCAGUGUAGCGGUGAAAUGCUUAGAUAUUGCGCAGAACUCCGAUUGCGAAGGCAGCAUACCGGCGGCGAUCUGACGCUGAGGCACGAAAGCGUGGGUAUCGAACAGGAUUAGAUACCCGUGUA
rnacentral:rRNA from 1 species